rnacentral:rRNA from 1 species
GAUGAACGCUGGCGGCGUGCCUAACACAUGCAAGUCGAACGAAGCUUGACGGAUGAUUUCUUCGGAAUGAAACCAGAUAUGACUUAGUGGCGGACGGGUGAGUAACACGUGAGCAACCUGCCUUUCAGAGGGGGAUAACGGCUGGAAACGGUCGCUAAUACCGCAUGAUGUGUUCGGAUGGCAUCAUCUGAACAUCAAAGAUUUAUCGCUGAAAGAUGGGCUCGCGUCUGAUUAGAUAGUUGGUGGGGUAACGGCCUACCAAGUCUACGAUCAGUAGCCGGACUGAGAGGUUGAACGGCCACAUUGGGACUGAGAUACGGCCCAGACUCCUACGGGAGGCAGCAGUGGGGAAUAUUGCACAAUGGGGGAAACCCUGAUGCAGCAACGCCGCGUGAAGGAUGACGGUUUUCGGAUUGUAAACUUCUUUUCUUAGGGACGAAGACAGUGACGGUAGCUAAGGAAUAAGCAUCGGCUAACUACG